rnacentral:lncRNA from 12 species
CCAUGGCUGUUUCUCUACCUGUUCUUCAAUCCUGCUUGCCCUAUGCAUGUCCUCCUCGACGGCCCCAGCUCCAUGUAUCAGCACUGGUCAUCCUGGUCAUCCUGAAUCAGAAGACACCUGCUCAUGCUUUUCUGUGAAGAGAAGAAAAGAUGAAGACACAUGCUCAGAGGAACAUCAACUUGAAAAUUAUGUGGCAUUAUGGAAUCUGGGUGAAGAUUGGGCCAUUGGAUUAUUUGGAACAGAAGGAGCAGCCACCAUCUUGAAUGCUGUGAGCUGUUGUAUCAGAAGGAAAAAGAGAGUGAGCUUCUUGAACUGGCCAUGAAAUGCUCUCAACUAAUUGACCAGAACCGGUAUUCUUGAAGAGCCAGAGAUGAACUGGAAGUAUAAUAUCACCCUGUGCCCCUGAAGGUAGGGAGCUGGAAAUAUUUGGUGAAAAGCAGAAGAGAUAAACUCUAACUACCAAAGAACCUGCAACCGGGAAAAUCAACUGCUAGUGAAAGACAUUUCAGGCUCUUUUCCCAGCAUUGGGGAACAGCAGUGAGCAGUGUUGAGAUGCACAGAGGAAUAAAAACCAGGACAACCUGAUUCUAACCCCA